AAGCCAAAGUCAACCCCAAGCAUCUAAGUGCAUAAGCACUUAACAUCAUGUGCCAUUUUCAAGCACUCAUAAAAAUCUUUGCUUUAUAGGUUUGCUCACUCUUUCAGUUUAUUUCUGUUUACAGUCAAUCUGACCAUUACUGUAUUAAGUUUCAAAUAAUUCUACUGUAUAGUUUUGGAGAAAACUAAAGCCAAAAUCAACUCCAAGCAUAUAAGUGCAUAAGCACUUUACAUCAUGUCCCAUUUUCAAGCACUCAUAAAAAUCUUUGCUUUAUAGGUUUGCUCGUUCUUUCAGUUUAUUUCUGUUUACAGACAAUCUGACCAUUACUGUUUUCAUUUUUAAAUAAUUCUACUGUAUAGUUUUGGAGAAAACUAAAGCCAAAAUCAACUCCAAGCAUAUAAGUGCAUAAGCACUUUACAUCAUGUCCCAUUUUCAAGCACUCAUAAAAAUCUUUGCUUUAUAGGUUUGCUUGUUUUAUCAGUUUAUUUCUGUUUACAGUCAAUCUGACCAUUACUGUAUUCAUUUUUAAAUAAUUCUACUGUAUACUUUUGGAGAAAACUAAAGACAAAAUCAACCCCAAGCAUCGAAGUGCAUAAGCACUUUACAUCAUGUCCCAUUUUCAAGAACUCAUAAUAACCUUUGCUUUAUAGGUUUGCUCGUUCUUUCAGUUUAUGUCUGUUUACAGUCAAUCUGACCAUUACUGUAUUCAUUUUUAAAUAAUUCUACUGUAUAGUUUUGGAGAAAACUAAAGACAAAAUCAACCCCAAGCAUCGAAGUGCAUAAGCACUUUACAUCAUGUCCAAUUUUCAAGCACUCAUAAAAACCUUUGCUUUAUAGGUUUGCUCACUCUUUCAGUUUAUUUUUGUUUACAGUCAAUCUGACCAUUACUGUAUUAAGUUUCAAAUAUUUCUACUGUAUAGUUUUGGAGAAAACUGAAGCCAAAAUCAACCCCAAGCAUCUAAGUGCAUAAGCACUUUACAUCAUGUGCCAUUUUCAAGCACUCAUAAAAAUCUUUGCUUUAUAGGUUUGCUCACUCUUUCAGUUUAUUUUUGUUUACAGUCAAUCUGACCAUUACUGUAUUAGGUUCCAAAUAUUUCUACUGUAUAGUUUUGGAGAAAACUAAAGCCAAAUUCAACCCCAAGCAUCUAAGUGCAUAAGCACUUUGCAUCAUGUGCCAUUUUCAAGCACUCAUAAAAAUCUUUGCUUUAUAGGUUUGCUCACUCUUUCAGUUUAUUUUUGUUUACAGUCAAUCUGACCAUUACUGUAUUAGGUUCCAAAUAUUUCUACUGUAUAGUUUUGGAGAAAACUAAAGCCAAAUUCAACCCCAAGCAUCUAAGUGCAUAAGCACUUUGCAUCAUGUCCCAUUUUCAACCACUCAUAAAAAUCUUUGCUUUAUAGGUUUGCUCGUUCUUUCUGUUUAUUUCUGUUUACAGUCAAUCUGUCCAUUACUGUUUUCAUUUUUAAAUAAUUCUACUGUAUAGUUUUGGAGAAAACUAAAGCCAAAAUCAACCUCAAGCAUCUAAGUGCAUACGCACUUUACAUAAUUUCCUAUUUUCAAACACUCAUAAAAAUCUUUGCUUUAUAGGUUUGCUCAUUCUUUCAGUUUAUUUUUGUUUACAGUCAAUCUGACCAUUACUGUAUUCAUUUUUAAAUAAUUCUACUGUAUAGUUUUGGAGAAAACUAAAGCCAAAUUCAACUCCAAGCAUAUAAGUGCAUAAGCACUUUACAUCAUGUCCCAUUUUCAAGCACUCAUAAAAAUCUUUGCUUUAUAGGUUUGCUUGUUUUAUCAGUUUAUUUAUGUUUACAGUCAAUCUGACCAUUACUGUAUUCAUUUUUAAAUAAUUCUACUGUAUAGUUUUGGAGAAAACUAAAGACAAAAUCAACCCCAAGCAUCGAAGUGCAUAAGCACUUUACAUCAUGUCCCAUUUUCAAGCACUCAUAAAAAUCUUUGCUUUAUAGGUUUGCUCGUUCUUUCAGUUUAUUUAUGUUUACAGUCAAUCUGUCCAUUACUGUAUUAAGUUUCAAAUAUUUCUACUGUAUAGUUUUGGAGAAAACUGAAGACAAAAUCAACCCCAAGCAUCGAAGUGCAUAAGCACUUUACAUCAUGUCCCAUUUUCAAGCACUCAUAAAAACCUUUGCUUUAUAGGUUUGCUCGUUCUUUCAGUUUAUUUCUGUUUACAGUCAAUCUGACCAUUACUGUAUUAGGUUUCAAAUAUUUCUACUGUAUAGUUUUGGAGAAAACUGAAGCCAAAAUCAACCCCAAGCAUCUAAGUGCAUAAGCACUUUACAUCAUGUGCCAUUUUCAAGCACUCAUAAAAAUCUUUGCUUUAUAGGUUUGCUCACUCUUUCAGUUUAUUUUUGUUUACAGUCAAUCUGACCAUUACUGUAUUAGGUUCCAAAUAUUUCUACUGUAUAGUUUUGGAGAAAACUAAAGCCAAAGUCAACCCCAAGCAUCUAAGUGCAUAAGCACUUAACAUCAUGUGCCAUUUUCAAGCACUCAUAAAAAUCUUUGCUUUAUAGGUUUGCUCACUCUUUCAGUUUAUUUUUGUUUACAGUCAAUCUGACCAUUACUGUAUUAAGUUUCAAAUAAUUCUACUGUAUAGUUUUGGAGAAAACUAAAGCCAAAAUCAACUCCAAGCAUCUAAGUGCAUAAGCACUUUACAUCAUGUGCCAUUUUCAAGCACUCAUAAAAAUCUUUGUUUUAUAGGUUUGUUCACUCUUUCAGUUUAUUUCUGUUUACAGUCAAUCUGACCAUUACUGUAUGAAGUUUCAAAUAUUUCUACUGUAUAGUUUUGGAGAAAACUAAAACCAAAUUCACCCCAAGCAUUUAAGUGCAUAAGCACUUUACAUCAUGUCCCAUGUUCAAGCACUCAUAAAAAUCUUUGUUUUAUAGGUUUGCUCGUUCUUUCUGUUUAUUUCUGUUUACAGUCAAUCUGACCAUUACUGUAUGAAGUUUCAAAUAUUUCUACUGUAUAGUUUUGGAGAAAACUAAAACCAAAUUCACCCCAAGCA